GCCCCCGCUGCCCCGUUAACCCCUCGUCCACCGCCGCCGUCGGAGGGGGCUGGGAAGUCGCCUGGGCACACACGUGCCGCCUCCGUUGGGGCCGCGGAGCUGCGGGGGAGAUGCGGGCCGCUGCCGGCGCCGCCUCGGGGCGCUCCGCCUCGCCCCAGCCCCCGGCGCUCUGACGCCGCCCCCGCCCCACAGCCUCCCUCCCCGGGAGGGGCGCAGACCCGAUCGCCCCCAGUCCCGAGCCUCCGCCGCCGCGAGGGGGCCGCCUUUGGAUCCGUGUAAUCCGCCUCUUUUUUUCUAUUUUCUUUUUUUUUUUUUUUUUUUUUUUCUAAUUUUUGGUUGGUGGCGGCGGUGCUGGGCCAGGGGAAGGAAGGGACACGGAGGCCGCCCUCGCCCCGCCACCUCCUACCAGCUUCCCCCCAGCCCCGGCUCCGGGAGAUGUGCCGGGCGGGGGGCCCGGGUUCGCCGAGCCGCAGGAGAGACACGCUGGGCCGACCCCAGAGCGGCGCUGGACAGGAAAACAUUUAAAGUUGAUGAUAUGUUAUCAAAAGUAGAGAAAAUGAAAGGAGAGCAAGAAUCUCAUAGAUAAGCCAUCACCAAACUCAGAAAAUGAACAAAAUUCUGUUACCCUGGAAGUCCUGCUUGUGAAAGUUUGCCACAAAAAAAGAAAGGAUGUAUGUUGUCCAAUAAGGCAAGUUCCCACAGAGUGACUCGUCCAAGAAGAAGAGAGUUUAAUGGAAUGAUUAAUGGAGAAACCAUGAAAAUAUUGAUGUCAGUGAAGAGCUUCCAGCCAGAAGAAAAUGAAAUCGUGAGGAUGGGGAAAAGACAUUUGUUGCACAAAUGACAGUAUUUGAUAAAAACAGGCGCUUACAGCUUUUAGAUGGGGAAUAUGAAGUAGCCAUGCAGGAAAUGGAAGAAUGUCCAAUAAGCAAGAAAAGAGCAACAUGGGAGACUAUUCUUGAUGGGAAGCUAUGGACUACUUAGAAGGUUGAGCACAUUAUAGUUAUGAACUCCCAUUUUUGAUUGAUGUUUUCUUCCCCAAAUGCUAAUUCAUGUUGGAAGUAGAGGCCUUUGUUUUUUAUACUUUAAAAAACACAAGUAAAU
rnacentral:lncRNA from 1 species